AGGCCGUGCAAAGGAAUGGAUUUACAAGUAGACCAGAACAUUGUAGCUCCUCAAUGUUGAUAGUUAGCAAUACAUAGGUAGAUAUAUAGUACAAAAAAGUUGAAGAAACACUUGUAUUCUUUAUUAAUUACUAUUUCAUUGUGCAGACACAAUUUUUUAUAUUGUUUCCAUUUGAUGUCAAUUACACCCUUCUGCAGACAACAGCAUAUUUGUUGUCCUGCAAUUGUUUAUAUAUGUCUCCAU
rnacentral:misc_RNA from 1 species